UACAGCAGGUUGCACAGGUCGGCAUCCAGGCAGGUCUUGAACAUCUCCAGAGCAGGAGAUUCCCCCACCUCCCUGCAGCCUGUUCCAGUGCUCCGUCACCUCACCUAAAGAAGUUCUUGCGCACAUUCAUGUGGAACUUCCUAUGCUGCAGCUUAUGUCUGUUUCCCCUUGUCCUGUUUCCACGUACCACUGAAAAGAGACUGGCCUCACCACUAUGGCCCCCACACCUCAGGUAUUUAUAAACCUGGAUUAGAUCCCCUCUAGUCGUCUUUUCUCAAGGCUAAAUAGACCCAGUUCACUUAGCCUUUCUUCAUAGGGGAUACUGUGUUAAAUUAUGAAACAAUCCUGGUUUGCCAGUUUAAACUGAAAAAAAUGCUUCUUCUGAAUCUUUCUUGAAAGAAAGUAAAUGCUUGAUGUCUCAUAAAAAGAAAAAUGAUAUUUUACGGUGGGAAUGGGCAGUGAUAGAAGUGAAGCCUCUUCUACCAUCUCAAUUUAAGACUGAAUGUUCCAUGCUCACCUUGCUUCUUUGCUUCAGUGAAUGCUCUCUUAUCUCUCCACUGUAACUUGUUUCCUGGUGUGUUUUUAGUAGCAAUUUUAAUUCUGCUGUGAGCAAAUAGAGAUGUAUCUAUCAUAAGCAAAUGCACAGCACAUUGAAAACCAAGCAUUUCACCAUUUAAGAAUGCACAGUUCCUCUGUCUAUGUAUGUCACUGUACAAACUUUUGAAGGCUAACAUGUCAUUGUUUCAGUUAAUGUUAGUGCUGUGAAUAAGCUGCUUUCUGUAACGCCCUCAUUAAUCCUGCUUUGCAACUGCCAUUUGAGCAGUGAUAUCAUUGAAAGCAGUAGAAAACAUUUACAUAUACUUUACUUAUCAGAAAGCUUGCCUGCCAAACAAACCCUAGCAUCAUCUGUUAUGAUACACAUUCUUGACCUGUGGAAAUACCAGUUUGCAUUAAAAAAUUGUGAAAAGGUAAUUUCCCAUUCAAUAACAUUUUAGUUUGUAAGAACUUCCUUCUCUUCCAGUUCUAACCUGAUAUAUGAUGUCUGCCAUCAUUGGUAGAUGGCAGAAUGCACAGCCAGGAACCAAGGAGGUGAGUGGUUUAGCCUGCCAGUGGUCUAGAUUGCCAUGAACCAUUGGCUCCCACUUAGCUGGAAGUUGGCAGCUGUCCCAUCCUGCUCCAAAGGGACGCUAGCUACUCCAAAGGCUUUUCAGUCUGUUCUCUGCUGGCAAGUGGCUGCUCUUCAGCAUUUGUCAAAUAUGAAUAUUCACAGCAAUGCAACAUGACUAAUUUUCACAGUUAACAACUAUAUAAAGGCUGGUCAAUAUAGCCUGAAGGUAGGCUCCCCACUGCCAUAAUAUGCACAGUGUACAAACCAGGGCAGACUUCCUCCUCCCAACUCCACAGAUCCCAUUGGGCCCUUUUAAGGAUGCACAAAUUGCAGUAACAAAACAGGGUGAUCUAAGGCAUGUCUACUUUGACUCACAAGAUAGCAGUUAUGACUUCUUACAAAAAUUUAAUCGUCAGAGCAAUAUAAUUCAUCUGGAGUAAAGCAGCCCAUGAGUUUAAAGACUGCUGUUCUCCCUACUAUUACUUGUUUGUUGCUGUUUUUAAGGAAUAUGAUGACUGUAAUGCGUAAUUCCAAUUUAUUUCAUUUUACUGCAGUGAAAGCAAAGUGGUUUAUUACCAAAAAUAAGUUUCCAGCAACAGGGAUUGCUGUACUUACUCAGCACAUUUCAGGAUAUUUUGUUCAGACUGCAGAUUUUUACAUUCUCCUUAAAAAAUUUUACAUCAUCAUAAAAAACAGUGGAAGGAACAGAGCUUAAAAUGGAAGUAUGAAAUGAAAACUUCUUCAUGAAAAGUAUGUUCUUUAAGAGUGCACUGUUUCAACACAGUAAUAAUUAGUUUGAAUUACUGUAAUGCUAUAAUGUGAUGGAAAGUACAGCAAUAGUAGCAGGGUGGCACAAUCCUGGGCUGCAGAAAAUGAGAACAAGCCUAAAGGCUGCAGCCACAGACGCAGAAAGAAAGGAAGAAAAACUUCUGACCUCUGGAGGACCUCAGGUACACAGGGAUCUCCAAUGACAUCCCCUCACCUCCUCCACUGCCAGCCCUUAAAUGAGGGCUGGGAAGAGGUGGGUCCUGGUUCCACCCUUCCAUCAUUCAGUGCAUUGCAUUGCAUUGCAUUGCAUGCACCUGAGCUCCCUGGGCUGCCCUGCCUUCCCACCAGGUGCUCCAUCACUGCUUCAGGCCACGGCUCAGCAUUUCUGAUGUAGUUACGUUUUUAAGAAAGCGAGUAAAAAAGAGAACAAGAGAAAAAGAGGGAGAAUGCUAUUUGUUUCUGUGACCCAGUUUGAAAUAGUCCAACUGAGAAAACAGCGUUCCUUUUCACUGCACAGCAAUUUAACACAGAUGUUAAAUGCAUUUACAAAAUUGAAUUCAUUUACAAACAUAAAUUCACUGAUCUGUCAAAUUAAUAUUUUUUUCCUAUUCUUAUCAUUUGGUACACUGUUGCAAUAGAUUAACUGAGUUUGGUUUUUUUCCUAAUGUGAAUUUCUGAGCCUAAUUAUUAAAGAAUUUUGUUUGCUGUGGACAAAUGCA